rnacentral:rRNA from 1 species
AUACGGAGGGUGCGAGCGUUAAUCGGAAUUACUGGGCGUAAAGCGUACGUAGGCGGUUGGUUAAGUUAGAUGUGAAAGCCCCGGGCUUAACCUGGGAACUGCAUUUAAAACUGGCGAACUAGAGUUGAGUAGAGGGGAGUGGAAUUUCAGGUGUAGCGGUGAAAUGCGUAGAGAUCUGAAGGAACACCAGUGGCGAAGGCGACUCCCUGGACUCGAACUGACGCUGAGGUACGAAAGCGUGGGUAGCAAACGGGAUUAGAUACCCCGUAGUCC